rnacentral:tRNA from 1 species
GGGGCCUUAGUUUAAUUAAAAUGUUUGAUUUGCAAUUAGAAGAUGCAAAGUAAAAUUUGUAGGUCCUA